GACAGAGGGUGCGAACGUUGCUCGGAAUCACUGGGCGUAAAGCGCGCGUAGGCGGACCGGAAAGUCGGUUGUGAAAUCCCUGGGCUCAACCCAGGAACUGCACUCCGAAACUCCCGGUCUCGAGUGACGGAGAGGAUAGUGGAAUUCCCGGUGUAGAGGUGAAAUUCGUAGAUAUCGGGAGGAACACCAGUGGCGAAGGCGGCUAUCUGGACGUCCACUGACGCUGAGGCGCGAAAGCGUGGGGAGCAAACAGG
rnacentral:rRNA from 1 species